AGCCUUACAGCCCCGCCCGCGGAGUCCCUGGCGCGGAGAGACCUGGGCUGCGGGCGGGGAGACCCGGGCGCGUGGGGAGGCCGGGCGCGCGGAGAGACCUGGGCUGCGAGCGGGGAGACCCAGGCGCGCGGGGAGGCCGGGCGCGCGGAGAGACCGCGACUGCAGGCGGGGAGGCCCGGGCUUGAGGGGCCGGCUCUGGAGCCUGGGAGAAGGCAUGUCCAGGAUCCCUGAGCAGACCCGAUUCCCACCAGCCCUCUGCAUCAUCUGCUCCACACCGAAGUUGGACUUUCCCACAGAAGAGAAGGCAAAGAAAAGGUUCCAUCUACCAGAGCAGCGCCUGAGGACACAGAACCCAUUUGCCUCAGAUCCUGUUUGAAGGCCAAGCAGAAAUGAAAUCAGUUCCCCUGAAGAAAGUGGCCUGGCAGAACAAAUGGGUAGAAAGUGGAUGGACUGAGGAGAACCUGGAUCCCUUAGCUGUGUUGUUCGCACUUCAGGGCCUGGGCACCUCCUGUUUCCUAUAGACUGCAAAAUUAUCACUCCUGACUAGUGCAGUUACUGGGAUCCGCCAUUUGUCAAAUACCUGGAUUCGACUUUAACAGGAGAUGCACCAAAGUGAAGCAGUGAAGUUCUUUGUGAACAGACUGUGUCGGGGACCACGGCGUGAAGCACCAUGGUAUGAACCCUGCACAUAGACACUGCUCAAGGACCAUUGGCCAUCUUGCAUCAGGCAUUCGAGGAAUUUCUGGGGACGAAAAUUUCAAUUUCUGGGCUAUUUUAUGGGACCGCUGCCUGGUCUGUCUAGAAUUCCAGAACCUUUCCCCGGUUUCCAGCUGGACCUGCUAUGACCUUCUCCUGUGCCCUCUCCAAUUGGACGUCUGGCCUCGCGGAGUUCCUCGUAUUCUCCACCACCCCCAUCAAAGCCGGUGGCCCCCUCCGGGGCUCUUGGAGUCUCCUGUAGUCAACACUUUGGCGCAAGGCCACGCGCCUCUCUGACUUUCCAGGGCCUCUGCUGCGGAACACCGGGUGGGCUGGCCCAGGGCAGGGUCGGUGCACCUUGUCUGGGAAGGCAAGGGUCCGGGAGAUGGGAGCACCCGCCAAGUCUGUGGGGCCCGCGCGGUGACUCCGGCACAUGGCUGGACCCUGCAGCCUCCCGCCACCAUCUGUCGUCAUCAGUCACCAACUUUGGUAAGAAGGGCUCGCUCAGGCUCUCGUGCCCUUCAAGGGGCAGAAUUGGGAGUGUCAGCAGCUCCCGCCCGCCACCCCGGACAGAUGAGAGGGAGAGGCUUCGGGAUCCGGUAUUUAUAUCCAGAUGGUCGGGCGGGUGUGAAACCCGAAAGGAACCAUUUCAGUCCUGCCAUUUCUAGGGCGGGAGGUUGUUUAAAUAAAUGUUAACAGCGGGGCGCCUGGGUGGCUCA
rnacentral:lncRNA from 1 species